GGGAAUGGGUUUAUGCCUGACUUUUAAUCAGAGGGUCCUGGGUUCGAGUCCCAGCGCGCUCACCA
rnacentral:tRNA from 1 species